UUAAAUUCACUGACGAGAACGAGUACGCUAUUCUCCUUGAAUUCCAGAGAGUUGGCCUAGAGCUGAAAGCCAACAUUCAAGACUUAGCUGAAAAUCCCCUCCGAGAAGGAAAGCUGAAGGAAGUUUAGUAAGCUGACCCGGGAUCCCGCCGUUACAAGGGCCGCGUAUGAUAGUACGUAGAACGAGAGCUAUAAUGAUCAUAUUCUUAUGAUCGUUACGGAACUAGGGUGGUAUCGCGAGAUGUAAUCUCGUCCCUUAC
rnacentral:ncRNA from 1 species